GUGAACGCUGGCGGUAGGCCUAACACAUGCAGGUCGAACGGCAGCACAGUAAGAGCUUGCUCUUACGGGUGGCGAGUGGCGGACGGGUGAAGAAUACAUCGGAAUCUACUUUUUCGUGGGGGAUAACGUAGGGAAACUUACGCUAAUACCGCAUACGACCUACGGGUGAAAGCAGGGGAUCUUCGGACCUUGCGCGAUUGAAUGAGCCGAUGUCGGAUUAGCUAGUUGGCGGGGUAAAGGCCCACCAAGGCGACGAUCCGUAGCUGGUCUGAGAGGAUGAUCAGCCACACUGGAACUGAGACACGGUCCAGACUCCUAAGGGAGGGAGCAGUGGGGAAUAUUGGGCAACGGGCGCAAGCCUGAUCCAGCCAUACCGCGUGGGUGAAGAAGGCCUUCGGGUUGUAAAGCCCUUUUGUUGGGAAAGAAAAGCAGCAGGUUAAUACCCCGCUGUUCUGACGGUACCCAAAGAAUAAGCACCGGCUAACUUCGUG
rnacentral:rRNA from 1 species